rfam:Paenibacillus riograndensis SBR5 isolate SBR5(T) genome assembly, chromosome: I
UUUAACUUUGUAUCCGAAGAUCGGAAUGAUGGAACCAUGUAUCCCGAAACGGUCUCGAUAAUACUCCUGCAUGCUCUAUCCGGACAGCGUAUAGAGUAUGAAGCCAGGUGAAGGCGGCAGAAGGAAAGCUGGAGCCACUCGGUCGAGAAGGUAUGCCAACUGAUAUGCCGGACGGCUGAAAA